ACACUAUUCUAGGCAGUGGGGAUGCAACGGUGAAGCCGAGGACAAGGCCCCCAUGCGAAGGAAACAGGGAGCAGAUCUGCAGAGAUGAAAUGCCAGGGUUGGCCGGGAAUUCCAUACCCGACCUGAAUCCAUAUCUACCGGACCCCACAUCCGCCGUCCGACCCAAUGAGGGAGAUAAUAGUUGGCACCGAUGCUCUUUCCUCAUGAUCACAAAAUGGCUAUUACCGUUAUGAACGUACAUCUUUAUGCCACGAUCUCCAGGAGUAGAGAGAAGAAGAGAAAUGGAGUGGAGUGGUUAAGAGCAGUGAAUCUGAAGCCUGAUCGCUUGAGGUUGAAUCCUGGCUAGCCCAAUGACCUUGGCCAAGUUCCUAAACCUCGGGCCGCACCUGUGGCACAUGGAAAUUCUCAGGCUAGGAGUUGAAUUGGAGCUAUAGCUUCUGGCCCACAUCUGCAAUUCAUGCCAACGCCAGAUCCCUAACCCACUGAAUAAGGCCAGGGAUCAAACCUGCAGCCUCAUGGAUACUAGUUGGAUUUGUCACCGCUGAACAACAAUAGGAACUCGCAUUUUUAGACCAGGACCCACAUACAGUGGUUCUCUCUUGCUCUUUGCACCUAGGGAUAACGGUGGAAUGUCCCAUGACUUCUUUAUGAGGUCAGAUACGCUUUAACAUCUUGAGCCUUUCAAAGUGCUUCCCUCAGUCUGGACUGAAGCCUGACCAACACUGGCAGAGAUGGGCCUUUUGGGAAAAUGACAGCGAAAGUCUCAUGGACGCAGACUGAAAGAAGUCAAGGCUGCUUUUCUGUCCUUCCUAUCAUGUUGUCUGGCUUAGAUUUUGGUUAGGAAAUUUUAGUUAGAACCAAAAUCAGUUCUGAGUCAGUGGAUUGGGCAUUUCUGAACCUCCCAUGCCUCUGUAAAAUGUGGUUAAUAAUAGCAUCACAUUUAAAGAUUAAUUUAUACAGUGCAUUUAAGAGUGUUUAGAACCAUACGGUAAGUUCUAAACAGUAAAGAGGAAGCACUGGUUUUCCCUACACAUUAUUCCAGAAGAAAGAGGGAUGUUCUGAGAUGGAGAUGAGAGAAUGAGCUAAAGGAUGUACCACUUACCUAAGGCCAGGAGGCAAGUCCUGGAGGAUGGAACUUAGAGGGUGUUUGGCUGACCCAGCCCAUCCAUCUAACUGGGGCGGCCACAUAGUUUUGGUGAAAAGCGCGUGAGAGUGGGAUCUUUGGUAAAUGGGGACUGAGACAUCAGUCCUGAAGGGUUGCUAGAUUAGCAAACUAGUGGAUAAAGCAUGUGAUUGGAACUUGGCACAUAGUAGGGGCUGGAUAAACAGUGCCAAUAAUAAUAGCCUUCUCUUACCACAGCUGGACCCCUUCCUCAGAGUGCUCUGAAUUCAGAGCCUUCCUCAAGCUAAGGAAAUGGCAGUUUGCUUGAAUACAAUGGUCUUUUUAAGGCAGCUCAGAUGUUUAUCUUAUUCUAAUAUUUACCCUUUUGAAUAGGAUUUUCGGGUGGCUUAUUUUUUAUUGCUCUAGGGAGUGGGGUUACACAGUGUUAAGCUUAAUAUCAACCUUUAAGUGAAAAAUGGAUAAAACUGAGAGAAAACCCGCUUCUGACCCAGGGGAGAAAAAGGCUCUGGUAAAAUCUGGCCUGGAUUCUUCUCCACAUCACCUUAGGGCCAGGGAGCCCAGGGGAAUACCUGGAAGUGGUUCAGAUUGGUUUGAACAUCUAUAAAGGUUUAGCAGGAACCCUCUCCAGUCCAAUGGCCAGGAGCAUCUGGAAUGUUCUAACAUCUGAUUGCCUAUUGGCAAUGGUGAUUUAUCCUAAGCCCAGAUAAAUUGCUCUGGAUUGAACCAGAGGUCACACCUCUCACUGCCAUGUGGUCUUAGGUCUGGCCAGCCUUCCAAUUUAAGUCUAAGUUAAAUCCUUCAUCAUUAAUUUUUUUUCCAUUUUGGCUAAAAUCAUCUUCAGGAAAUAGGACUUAAUGAUAACAGUGUCUUCAAGUAAGAAGGACAAUGACCAAAUAAGCCCUGUGGGUGUAGGAAUGUGUUCAGCUAUAAAUACUUCCCCUUAGCACAGAAGACUUCACAGUUGCCUUCAGAACCACCACCCCAAAUUUUCCCUUCAGGUAAGACUCAAGAGAGCAGGUAUGUAUAUUCAGACUAUCCAAAAGUUUUGGGUGUUUUGUCUUUAUCAUCACUGUCAAACAUCGGAUAUAUUUUUACUCAGUUAAUCCUCUCUCUCAAUAACUCUAUAAAGCAGGGUUUUACAGAUGAAGAAAUUGAGGCAUGAUGACGUUAGUUCAUUUUGGGAUUAAAUAGCUAUUGAGGGAGUUCCCGUCGUGGUGCAGCAGAAAUGAAUUUGACCAGGAACCAUGAGGUUGCAGGUUCAAUCCCUGGCCUCGCUCAGGGGGUUAAGGAUCCAACAUUGCCGUGAGCUGUAGUGUAGGUCGCAGACGAGGCUGCGAUCUGGUGUUGCUGUGGCUGUGGCGUAGGCCGGCAGCUAGAGCUCCGAUUAGACCUCCUAGCCUGAGAACUUCCAUAUCCGCAUGUGCAUCCUAAAGAAAAAAAGACAAAAGACAAAAAAAGAAAAAUACUAUUGAGAGACAGAGCCAAGGGUUUGAAAGAGUAUCUGCACAACUCAGAACAAUACUCCUCUUGGGCCAGUUUUUGGAAAUUAAGCACACUCUAGGUGGGUAGAAGUGGUGGGUUUAUUUCCUUCAGCAAGUUUUCACCAGGUUAGAGGGAUGGGACUUGCCAGAUGAGGUGAGGGGAGAAAGAUACUGCUUGUGUGAUUAGGAUUUAGGUUCCAGCCUGCAUUGUCUAUAAGGUACCAACUGAAAUUCUUUCGAUUUCCAACAUGCCAGUAGGCCAGGGGAACACUCGGCCACUUGCACUCCGCCUGCACAGUUCGAUUUGUUCUAGAUGAGGGAGCCAUGCAGAGAGGGUCCAGAGAGAAAAGACUAGAGUCGUGCCAGACAGUGGGCAUCUUUCUCCUCGGGGCCUUUCCUGGGAGCUGAAGCUGUGUGAAAAGAGAAGAUAGAUAGUAGCUGCCCAUGAGCUAAUGAGAAAAACAUCUCAAAGGGAUGCUUAGGUGUUGUAUGAGCAAGGCCCUCCUCCUCUGAACAUGAAAUUUCUCCAUUGGUGCUUAGAAAUUUCCCUUCAGCACAGAUUUGCUUAUUCUUGACCAAUCCAUAGUUGUCUAUUGAUUCUUGUGCUAUAAACAGAAACAGUUGCCUAGGAGUGCUAUCAAUUGUGUGUUAGUUUCUGAAGGUAAAUGGUUGCAAAAGCCAACUGAGUAAACAUUACCCUUACUAGAUGCCGUAAGUCCCCUAUCUAUACAUGAUUUGGGGUAGACUGCCUUUACUUCUUAGUGUUUCAGAAGCACUGGAAAAGACUAAAUGAAGGUACAGAAGGGAUGCCUACUUGCAGAGGUCUGGAGAUUAGCUGAUUCUUUCCUUAAAGAUACUGGAGGGAUCUAGGCCUAUUUGGGGCCUAUUGGGUUGGAGGUGCCCCAAGACCUCUGGUUGGAGCUGUCCAGCACAGAGCUGUGAACAGGGGAUGCAGGCUUAGUUCAGAGCUGGGGAGAGAGAGCUGGACCACGCAGUAGGAAUCAGCCACCCCUGCAUGUAGAAGGGCCUAGACAAGAAUGAGAAGACAUGUCAUUUUCUGCUCAGUUCUGUGGUGAAGUCUUCCUGUAAACUCAUCUCUAGGGUGUGAAUGACCUCAUCAACAUCCUUCCGCCUCUGAGAGAAGAGCUGCUGGAGACUCCUGGAUGUCUGGCCCAAAGCUGGAGGCUCUGAAAGGGCUGAGAGAUGAUUUGGAAGAUACCAUUUGACUGCUUUUUACUGACGUGACCAUAUGUCUACCCGGAGAUUGGAGACCUUGGACAGCUGGAGGAUCCAAGAUAACCUCCCUCCUCCUGUCUGGAUUCGCAGAAUAAAACCUUGUCAAAACAACAAAGGAAAAGUGGCCGGACUUCAGUUUAAGAGUUGGUUUAUGAGCACAACUCUGAAUGCAUGAUUUAAAAUGACAUUGGCUGGAGUUCCCGUCGUGGCGCAGUGGAAACGAAUCCAACUAGGAACCAUGAAGUUGCAGGUUCAAUCCCUGGCCUUGAUCAGUGGGUUAAGAAUCCGGCGUUGCUGUGAGCUGUGGUGAAGGGUCGCAGAUGUGGCUCAGAUCCCGUGUUGCUGUGGCUGUGGUGUAGGCUGGCAGCUGUAGCUCCAAUUUGACCCUAGCCUGGGAACCUCCACAUGCGGAUGUUUAUACUCUUUUCUUCAUCUUGGAACUAUCUAUUUGAUUUAAAGCUGAUCAAGACCAUGACAUAGAGAGAAAGAACCCAGACCAAUGAAGACAAGAGAGCUGCUCUUUGUGUGACGCAUUUCCUCACCCAGCCGCAGAUUGCAACAGAGGAGAUGAGAUAAAGAUGAGGAACCUCAACAGAAAGGAUGGAUGUAAACAGUGGGUUUGCUGUGCAGUGACAAGAGCCCAGCUUGGGAAGGGUGUUGAGUGGGGUGAAGAUGUCACAGGAACUCACGAAAGCCAGAGGAGUUCACAGUUCAGAGAAGGUGGGUCUUCUAGCUGCUGAAGGCCACACAGCAACCCUUGUGGACAGUGAGGUCCAUUCUAAGGACCUGUUCGUGAAUCCAACUACUGAAGAGCCUUAACCAGUCUUCCCUCUGGGUUCUUUUCCUUUACAUUCCAUGAGUUGGAGAUGGACCGUCCUAGUGCAGUACUUGGAUGAAUGGCUGGAAUGAAAUGAUGCUUUUUCAGCUCCCAAGAGGAUGUAAAGGGCACAAGGUCACCUUUAUUGAACUGUUUUCCUGUUGGCCAUCCCUUCUGGGCCCCAAGUUCUGCAUUUGCAGCAUCUGGCACAGUGCUGGGCACAUCCUGAGCUUGAGAAAAGCUGGACAGGCUCAGGAAACAGAAGGAGUUUUCUGGGAACAGACUGGAGAGGAGGAGCCAGUUAAAGUGACAAAAGGCACAAGUUUGAACUUCCUGUGUCCUGCGCCUGCUGCCGGAGCAGGGCUCUGAGCUGCCUCCAGAAUGGCCCACUGGUCAUGGGGGAAGUAAGAGAGAUUUGCUCACAGCAGGGCAUUUACUUAUAAGCUGGCCCACCCUGGGAUUUGGCCUCGAUGGUGGACAAUCUCCCUGCAUAAGGAAACCCUCUGCAGGGAACUCUUCCAAGGGAGAAGGAGACCAGCCAGACAAGCCUGGCCCGGGAUCAAAGCUCUGGGCCUCAGAGGGUGGGCUGAGUCGAGGAUGGGCUGGAUCUAACUUCUGGGUCAGCGCCAUGAGCAGCGCAGACCCAGCAUGACAGCGGGAUUGGGGGGGGCAGCACCCCUCCUCGUUGGCUCUUGGAACCUGGCCUUUUGGGCACCUGCCUAGGAGGUGUCAGAAACCAGCAGAGGCCAUGUGUGUGUGGUGGCCGCAGGGCUGGUCAUGCUCCAGGGGGUGGGAGGAGGCCUGGGAGGUGGGGCUGGUUUCUCAGAGACCCAGGACACUUGUUUCAAAAUCGGACGGAAAAAAAAAUGAACUUCUAAGACACAAAAGGUCACAUGCUGCAUGAUUCCAUUUAUAUGAAAUAUCCAGAAUAGGAAAAUCCUAAGAGACAGAAGGUAAAUUAGUGGUUGCCAGAGUCUGGGGAGAAGGGGAGAGUGGGCAGCGAUUGCUAAUGUGUUUGGGGUAUCUUGUUGGGGUGAUUAAAAUGUCCUGAAUUAGAUUGUGGUGAAGGUGGCACAAUCUUGAGACUAUACUAAAAACCACUGAAUUGUAUAUUUUAAAAUGGUCUACUUUAUGGCAUGUGGAUUAUAUCUCAAUAAAGCUAGUUGUUUU
rnacentral:lncRNA from 1 species